CCGUCCGGUAUAGUGGUUAUUGUGUUCGCCUUCCAGUUCUAAGAACGCGGGUUCGAUCCCCGACUCGGAGGGA